rnacentral:lncRNA from 1 species
UCUGUCUAAUAUUGGAAAAUCACUAGAAACACAAUAAACUUGAGAUGAUAAAGCAGCUAAGAUCAGGAAAAGAAAAAGGAAAAGAUAGGUUCCUUGUGUAUUUCCCAUUUUUCAGCAACAUCAACCAAUAAAUGAUUUUGAAGCAUUUCUAUUUCUGUUCUUAUUUUAUAUAGUAUUGGAGAUGGUGACUUUUAAGGCUCAUAAUCAGUCGACACACACAUGACAACUGUGAAGCCGUUGAAUCAAUGAUAGGUUCCUUGUGUAUUUCCCAUUAUUAGUAACAUCAACCAAUAAAUGAUUUUGAAGCAUUUCUAUUUCUAUUCUUAUUUUUAUAUAGUUUUGGAGAAGGUGACAUUUAAGGCUCAUAAUAAGUCAGCACACGCAUGACAACUGUGUAGCAGUUGAAUCUUGUUCAGAAUGACAAAUUAAUAAAUAUAGAAUUUUUAAGUGAUCUCUCGAGUAGGUGAUGGUAUUUUAAAAGCAUUUCUGGUUACUAUAUUUCCAUGAAUUGGGCUACUCACAGUUAAUUCAAGUAUUUAUCGUUUACUCUCUUUAAGCUAGUGACCAGAAUAAACUUGAGUAUUUGGAAGCUCGGCUGGCAAUUCAUUUUCUCCAACUUGUGAGCACCCAUACUUACAAGUAACUCUAUUUAAUAAAUAUUGACCGAAAAUUAAAAUUCUUUAUAUUGUCACUGUGUAUAACUUAAAUCUAUCGGCUCGAACUGAAGAUCAAAAUGAGUUGAUUUAAUUAAGAGAUAUUGCGCAAUAGGCUGAUUCCAAAAGCAUGUGCGUCUGCUGCAAGAUUUACAACUAUAAACAAGUUUAGAGGCAACAACAUGGUGAAUCUGCGAUCUGCCAAUUUUUAUUUUAUUUAAUGAUGUAAAAUUCCUUUUAAUUUUGAGAAAGAAGAAAAUAUCAUCCAACACAAACCCAAAUGGAAAUAUAACGUCUUUUUCUUUUGAGAUAAUUAUUACCCCAUAGUUGAUUACACAUGUCUGUGUUUAGUGACUGUUCUUUUCCUUUAUAGAGAGGGGCAGCGAACGUGGAUCCCAGUUGAGGGAGAAAGACUGUUGACUUUGGAGAUAGCAUAAAUAAAGUGCAUUGAUAUUUCUCACUAUUCACUCCUCAACAUCAUUCAUAAUAUUUAUCAGGCCACUUAUAUCUUUAAUAAAUCAUAAAGAAAUGACAAAAUUAGACCAGAAAUUAGAAUACUCACGAAGAUAAAAGAAAAUUCAGGUAUCCGUAAUCCUCGAGAUGAUUUCGCCCAACUUCGCUGUGGAUUUGAACAACGGCAAAGGCAAUUAUAACUGAAAUAAUAGCAGAGACUGAAGCUGUUGGUGGCGAUGGUAGCAGUGGUAGUGCCGUGUGCUGGGAUUAUCGUGGAGCGUGCUCAUGAGUUGCAAUGUGUCAAAUGAAUCCUCUUUAUCAACGAUUCUCUUAUUCUCCCUUCUUCCUUUUUCUGUUUUAUAAACACAUCUCUUGUUAAAUAUUUAACUUCCACUAGCUUCAGACUUCAAGGACCAACAUUAUACACCUUGUUUAAUUGAAUACUAUUAAAUAUGAUCAGUUUAAUUGACCUUGAUCAAUGACAAUAAUUCUAGGAACAAAG